rnacentral:rRNA from 1 species
UGGCUCAGAUUGAACGCUGGCGGCAGGCUUAACACAUGCAAGUCGAACGGUAACAUUAAAAUAGCUUGCUAUUUUAGAUGACGAGUGGCGGACGGGUGAGUAAGGCUUGGGGAUCUGGCUUAUGGAGGGGGAUAACCAUUGGAAACGAUGGCUAAUACCGCAUAGUAUCGAGAGAUGAAAGGGGUGGUUACGGUCACCUGCCAAAGGAUGAACCCAAGUGAGAUUAGGUAGUUGGUGGGGUAAAGGCCUACCAAGCCUGCGAUCUCUAGCUGGUCUGAGAGGAUGGCCAGCCACACUGGGACUGAGACACGGCCCAGACUCCUACGGGAGGCAGCAGUGGGGAAUAUUGCGCAAUGGGGGGAACCCUGACGCAGCCAUGCCGCGUGAAUGAAGAAGGCCUUCGGGUUGUAAAGUUCUUUCGGUGGUGAGGAAGGUUAAUAUGUUAAUAGCAUAUUGAUUUGACGUUAGCCACAGAAGAAGCACCGGCUAACUCCGUGCCAGCAGCCGCGGUAAUACAGGAGGGUGCGAGCGUUAAUCGGAAUAACUGGGCGUAAAGGGCACGCAGGCGGGACGUUAAGUGAGAUGUGAAAGCCCCGGGCUUAACCUGGGAACAGCAUUUCAUACUGUCGUUCUAGAGUACUCUAGGGAGGGGUAGAAUUCCACGUGUAGCGGUGAAAUGCGUAGAGAUGUGGAGGAAUACCGAAGGCGAAGGCAGCCCCUUGGGGAGAUACUGACGCUCAUGUGCGAAAGCGUGGGGAGCAAACACGAUUAGAUACCCUGGGUAGUCCACGCUGUAAACGAUGUCGAUUUGGGGGUUGGGUGUAAACUUGGCUCUCGAAACAAACGUGAUAAAUCCACCGCCUGGGGAGUACGGCCGCAAGGUUAAAACUCAAAUGAAUUGACGGGGGCCCGCACAAGCGGUGGAGCAUGUGGUUUAAUUCGAUGCAACGCGAAGAACCUUACCUACUCUUGACAUCCUAAGGAGAAGCUAGAGAUAGCUUUGUGCUUUCGAGAACUUAGAGACAGGUGCUGCAUGGCUGUCGUCAGCUCGUGUUGUGAAAUGUUGGGUUAAGUCCCGCAACGAGCGCAACCCUUAUUCUUUGUUACCAACGGGUAGAGCCGGGGACUCAAAGGAGACUGCCAGUGACAAGCUGGAGGAAGGUGGGGAUGACGUCAAGUCAUCAUGGCCCUUACGAGUAGGGCUACACACGUGCUACAAUGGUGCAUACAGAGGGAGGCGAAGUAGCGAUACGGAGCGAAACUCAGAAAG